GACGAACGCUGGCGGCGUGCUUAACACAUGCAAGUCGAACGGAAAGGCCCUGCUUUUGUGGGGUGCUCGAGUGGCGAACGGGUGAGUAACACGUGAGUAACCUGCCCUUGACUUUGGGAUAACUUCAGGAAACUGGGGCUAAUACCGGAUAGGAGCUCCUGCUGCAUGGUGGGGGUUGGAAAGUUUCGGCGGUUGGGGAUGGACUCGCGGCUUAUCAGCUUGUUGGUGGGGUAGUGGCUUACCAAAGCUUUGACGGGUAGCCGGCCUGAGAGGGUGACCGGCCACAUUGGGACUGAGAUACGGCCCAGACUCCUACGGGAGGCAGCAGUGGGGAAUAUUGCACAAUGGGCGGAAGCCUGAUGCAGCAACGCCGCGUGCGGGAUGACGGCCUUCGGGUUGUAAACCGCUUUCGCCUGUGACGAAGCGUGAGUGACGGUAAUGGGUAAAGAAGCACCGGCUAACUACGUGCCAGCAGCCGCGGUGAUACGUAGGGUGCGAGCGUUGUCCGGAUUUAUUGGGCGUAAAGGGCUCGUAGGUGGUUGAUCGCGUCGGAAGUGUAAUCUUGGGGCUUAACCCUGAGCGUGCUUUCGAUACGGGUUGACUUGAGGAAGGUAGGGGAGAAUGGAAUUCCUGGUGGAGCGGUGGAAUGCGCAGAUAUCAGGAGGAACACCAGUGGCGAAGGCGGUUCUCUGGGCCUUUCCUGACGCUGAGGAGCGAAAGCGUGGGGAGCGAACAGGCUUAGAUACCCUGGUAGUCCACGCUGUAAACGGUGGGUACUAGGUGUGGGGUCCAUUCCACGGGUUCCGUGCCGUAGCUAACGCUUUAAGUACCCCGCCUGGGGAGUACGGCCGCAAGGCUAAAACUCAAAGGAAUUGACGGGGCCCCGCACAAGCGGCGGAGCAUGCGGAUUAAUUCGAUGCAACGCGUAGAACCUUACCUGGGUUUGACAUGGAUCGGGAGUGCUCAGAGAUGGGUGUGCCUCUUUUGGGGUCGGUUCACAGGUGGUGCAUGGCUGUCGUCAGCUCGUGUCGUGAGAUGUUGGGUUAAGUCCCGCAACGAGCGCAACCCUUGUUCACUGUUGCCAGCACGUUAUGGUGGGGACUCAGUGGAGACCGCCGGGGUCAACUCGGAGGAAGGUGGGGAUGACGUCAAGUCAUCAUGCCCCUUAUGUCCAGGGCUUCACGCAUGCUACAAUGGCUGGUACAGAGAGUGGCGAGCCUGUGAGGGUGAGCGAAUCUCGGAAAGCCGGUCUCAGUUCGGAUUGGGGUCUGCAACUCGACCUCAUGAAGUCGGAGUCGCUAGUAAUCGCAGAUCAGCAACGCUGCGGUGAAUACGUUCCCGGGGCU
rnacentral:rRNA from 1 species